CCUUUUCUCUUUCUUUUUGUUCCCUUCACAUUUUCUAUACUUAUUUAUAACGUUUUACUAUUCGAAGCAAAUGCACACCAUUCAUUUAGUGUCAGAAUCCACAGCAUAACAUCACUUCGUCAAUUCCAAAUGUUGGUCUCCAGGUUUGGAGAGCUGAACUAGUAUUAUCUUGCAUUAGAACUUGGCGCUGGAACUGGCUUGGUGGGUUUAUUACUUGCACGUGUUGCAAAUACAGUGUUCCUAACAGCACUGUGUUCCAUUGUUGUCGUCUUCAUAAACUUUGAUACCAAGCGUGGACACUUUGCCUGAAUGUGAUUUGAGGUUACGUGCAAGGUCCCCGUAGAACGAUGGAUCGUCAUUCUCUAUGACAAAGUCAAUGCCAUCUAAUACUGCAUUCCCAAGUGGGCGUGAUAAGGAGCCAGAGUCACCCAGGAAUGUACCACAAGUAAUCCGACACAUCUUUGGCAUCCUUAUGGGAAGUUAGAUUGUAAUUGAGAGCUCCUCCUCCAAAAGCAACACCUUGAUCCCUUGCUUUUGACAACUCCUAAUCACUCUUCCAAUCUCAGUGCACCUAUGAGUAGAGGAGUCACAAGUUAAGCCGGAGGUUCAUCAUUGAUAAUAUAUAAUUUGGGGCUCAAUUGUUUCCUUAUUUGUUUCUUCUUAUUUUUUUGUCGUAAAUUAUUACUUGUAGCAGAAUGAUGAGUGCGGUAAUGACAACAAAAGUUUAUGUUUAGUUUCCAAUUGAUGAUAGUGAGAUAAUUGAUAUAUACUAGUAUAUUAUUAGUUUCUUGACUUGUAACAUUGGAGGGUCGUUGACUUGUUGGUUGUUGAAUUGAAGAACUUUAGACUUGUUGAUUACUGAAUUGGAGGACUUAA